CUAGCAAGUGAGCUUUGUUCUCUGUAGAAUUCUAAAGACUCCAUGCUAAUUUUAAGCAAAGAGAAAUUGUCUUUUUGAUUACUUUUAUGACUUGCGACUAUCUAAGGCAAGUCCUUUAGAUAUUGAGUUUGGAAUGUGUCAAAUAGAUGGCGUGAAAGAAUGUUGUUUGUUGUGUCAGAUAUGGGCUUAUGACGUCAAAAGUUCAGCGACAUCUUCUUCGAAAAUUACCAAUGAAUUCGUUGGAGAAAAUGUGAAAGGUUCAUGAAGUCUGUACUGUCAACUAUUGUGAAUCCUGGUAUCCUAACUGAAUAUGUCAUCCUAAUGACAGAGUGGAUUCGAAAAUUUACCGUAAGUCUGAAAUAGCUAACUAAAUCAUUUGUAUGUUGUGUCAUAGGAUAGUGAAAGGUGAAAGGCGUGAGGAAUUCAAAUUUAGCUGCUGCGUGCUGUCUGCAAGGAAGCAAUCCAAUUGGCUGUCGCUAGGUGGCGCGAGCAUCUUCGGCCAUUUUGUUCCUUGACGAAUGAGAAGUGGGAUGCUGCAUGCUGGUCGUGACGUUUCCCAUGAUGAAAAUGUAAAGGUGAUUUCAAUUCCACUUGGUCAAGCAAUCUAACCAGAAUCUAACUCGGAAGCCUGUCCAUUUUGCUGAAAUGUCGUGCCUCGUGUGUCUUGCUGCCUGCACCCAGUCGUAUGUCUCGUGCCAUGCAAAAGCAAAAGUCCGCUGUUGGUUACCUUGUUGCAGCCAGGUGGUGAAAGAUGUGAUGGAGACUAAUUGAACUGUUGUAUGCAGCGUGUGGUUCCAGUGUUAUCCAGAAGUAGCUGUGCUGGCGGUAUCCUGAACUAGCCUGAAGUUGCCAGUGAUAUCCGGGUCGCUGACUUUAAAUAUUUUUUCUGUUUGCAUUUUGUGUAUUUUGCCCUGCCAAUGUUAUCCUGUGUUUGAAAUCUGUUCUCUUUCGUGUUUUUUUUUGCUCUACCAGUGAUUUCCUGUGUUGCAGUCUUGAAAUGGUUCCAUUGUCGUCUUUGGCGUUUUUAUUGUGCAGUAUACGAUUGAGGCAACCUGAUCUAUGUCAGGUUUGA